CACAAAUAUGAAGGCGGGCUGGAACCUCUCGGGGUUACAGCCUUGCUGAAUUAUUCACCCUUGUCUUUUGCGUACUUCUUGUUUCCUUGGUGGGUUCGCCCACCACUAGGACAAAACAUAAACCUUUUGUAAUUGCAAUCAGCGUCAGUAACAAAUUAAUAAUUA
rnacentral:misc_RNA from 1 species